rnacentral:lncRNA from 1 species
AAUUCAGGUAGAGGCCUUGUCCACCUAAUUUUAAUACGUUCAAAUGAAAGAGAGAAACACAGUGGAAGAUUAAGAGUCACGCUUGACACUUCCAAGAAAAGCAGUUCCUUGUUGAUCACGGCUUCCCGGGCAGCAGACACUGCUUCUUACUUCUGCUGUGGGAAUAACAAUGCCAGACUCAUGUUUGGAGAUGGAACUCAGCUGGUGGUGAAGCCCAUAUCCAGAACCCUGACCCUGCC